GGCCUUGAAACAGUGAGCUGUCUUUGUUCGAAAUACAGGUGAACGGCAAUCAUGUGAUUAACACACACACACAUAAAAAGCUUUUUAACAGCGCCCGCCCGGCCUCAGAACCGCCCGGAGAGGAGCCGCCCUGGAUGGACAGAGGGACGGAGGGACGAGCAUCCAGCCAGUCGCGUCCCAGCCGCCCAAGAGCGGUCUCCAACGCCCGCUGCUGCCCGCCCGCUGCCUGUCUGCCCGCAUCUCUCUCCCGUGUCCUCAGACCUGUUCUCCCAGGACCUGCCCGGCCGCUUCCUGUCUGAGUGCCAGCUGGGGACUCAACUUCCUUCUCUGAGAAAUGGGGAGGUAACGACGGAACCAGAGACCUUCUGGCGAUGGAUCCAUGAGCUGGAAGUACCUGGCACGGGACACAGCGGGGAGCCCAGCUUCUCCCCAGUGAGAAUUCCAGCACUGCCACUCUGGACUUGUCUCCAAGCUUCAGUUUCCCACUCUGCACCCUGUAAAACGGGGAUAAGAAAAUAAAACCUUAAAGCGGUCAGAGUUUGCUUCAGGUCAUCUUUGAGCAGCGAAGAACUAAAAUGAGAGCUCAGGCAGAGCUUCCAGGUGGCCUGUGCGUGGGAGGGCUACCUUGAGAGCUGGGGACUCGUGGGUAGACCCCAGCCGGGAAGCCAGAGCCUGAGGAAGUUGUGUGCAGCACCCCAAACAUCCAGCCACUCCCGUGUCUUUCUCCAGCCCUGUGGGCACAGCAAUGUGGCUUCUCGUUAAGCACGGCCCAGAGCAGAGUGUGUGUCUCUCGCUCGUGACCACUGUCCUCGGCCAGGAGAACCUACGAGCUUCGGGGUUGGUGGAUGAGGGCAGAGGGACUGGGAUGCACUAGUCAGAGCUGGAGAAGCCCAGGCUGCAGGAGAGAGAAAUCUCAUGUGCUGCAAGACAGGCGCAGGAAGCUCUAAGGGUUCUCCCCUGGCCGGAAGUUGGGAAGGAAGACUUCCUGGAGGGGGCAGAGGUAGAAGUAACUGCCACUGGGGAGGCCAUAUAGGAGAGGAGGGUGGUGUAUGUCAAGGUGGACGCUCCAGGGAGGCCUGGGCCGGUGCAGAAAGGGGGAGGGACAGUGUAGGGGAGGGCAGGGCAGGGCUCCGAGAGCAGAGGGGGUCCUGAGGGCCGGGUGCCACGGAAGGUAUGGACUGAAGGGCAGAGGGAUGGCACUGAUUCAAAAGGGUCAGAUUUGUGUUCUAGAAAGACCUCUGCCCUAUGGGCAGUGCCAGCCUGGUUUAUUGUCGUGUCUCCAGGACCUGGCCCAGCGCCUGGUACUCAUUCAGUGAAUAUUUUCAGUUAGUUCACAGGUGCCAAGAGCAUGCCCAGAGCCAGUGGUUAGCGCCAGCUGUGGGCCUCAGUUUCCUCACCUGUAAAAUGUGGGUGACAGCACCUGCCUCAUAGGAGGGCCCCGGUGGCGGGGUGUAUGUAUGUGGUGUAUGUGUAUGUGGUCAGCACCCCAAUGCUGAUGCUUUACGAAUGUGUGUAGGCUGUGCCUCGGGGGCACAAGCCAGGGAGCUGGGUCAGGAAUGUCCAAUUGUCCAGGAUAAUGACAAUGAUCUGCAAGAGCUUCAGGUCUGUGUGUAUUUUUCUUUUUUUGACAAAGUCUCACUGUGUAGCUUAGGCUGGUCUUGAACUCACUAUGUACCCCAAGCUGGCACUGAGCUUCCAGCAGCAGUGUGGGAUAGGCAAACCUAUAGGGACAAAAGGUAGGCGAGUGCUUGCCAAGCUGGGGCUCAGGGCUGCUGGCCGAGGGUGUAGGGUUUCUUGAGUGGGUGUGGCACACAUGCUCUGAACAGGUGUGGAAGGGUCACACAUCUCCGUGAGGUGUGCACACUGCUGAACUGUGUGCUUUCAGUGUGUGGAUCAUAUGAUAUGUGAACUGCUUCUCAAUAAAGAUGUUCUUUACCAAGCUGGGCACAAGGGCAGUCACCUGAAAUUCCAGCUACUCAGGAAGCUGAAGCAGGAGGAUCGCAG